CUCGGCCGAUCCUCCCACCCUUUGUGUACCUACCUCUGUUGCUUUGGCGGGCCGCGGUCCUCCGCGGCCGCCCCCCUCCCCGGGGGGGUGGCCAGCGCCCGCCAGAGGACCAUCAAACUCCAGUCAGUAAACGAUGCAGUCUGAAAAACAUUUAAUAAACUAAAACUUUCAACAACGGAUCUCUUGGUUCUGGCAUCGAUGAAGAACGCAGCGAAAUGCGAUAAGUAAUGUGAAUUGCAGAAUUCAGUGAAUCAUCGAAUCUUUGAACGCACAUUGCGCCCUUUGGUAUUCCGAAGGGCAUGCCUGUUCGAGCGUCAUUACAACCCUCAAGCUCUGCUUGGUAUUGGGCACCGUCCUUUGCGGGCGCGCCUCAAAGACCUCGGCGGUGGCGUCUUGCCUCAAGCGUAGUAGAACAUACAUCUCGCUUCGGAGCGCAGGGCGUCGCCCGCCGGACGAACCUUCUGAACUUUUCUCAAGGUUGACCUCGGAUCAGGUAGGGAUACCCGCUGAACUUAAGCAUAUCAAUAAGCGGAGGA
rnacentral:rRNA from 1 species